rnacentral:rRNA from 1 species
AUUGAACGCUGGCGGCAGGCUUAACACAUGCAAGUCGAGCGGGGUGAUGGUGCUUGCACUAUCACUUAGCGGCGGACGGGUGAGGAAUGCUUAGGAAUCUGCCUAUUAGUGGGGGACAACAUCUCGAAAGGGAUGCUAAUACCACAUACGUCCUACGGGAGAAAGCAGGGGAUCACUUGUGACCUUGCGCUAAUAGAUGAGCCUAAGUCGGAUUAGCUAGUUGGUGGGGUAAAGGCCUACCAAGGCGACGAUCUGUAGCGGGUCUGAGAGGAUGAUCCGCCACACUGGGACUGAGACACGGCCCAGACUCCUACGGGAGGCAGCAGUGGGGAAUAUUGGACAAUGGGGGGAACCCUGAUCCAGCCAUGCCGCGUGUGUGAAGAAGGCCUUAUGGUUGUAAAGCACUUAAGCGAGGAGGAGGCUCUUUUGGUUAAUACCCAGGAUGAGUGGACGUUACUCGCAGAAUAAGCACCGGCUAACUCUGUGCCAGCCGCCGCCGUAA